rnacentral:lncRNA from 1 species
GAGGAGAGAGAGGUGGUAAUUCGGGUCAUGAGCCAGGACACUACUGGACCCUUUUAAAUUAAACACGUGUGAUGGUCACAGUUUCGAAGUAUGUUGUGUAAUGGACUUGAAGGUACCGACCUAGUGAAGCAAGAGAGAGCCAUUUACUUUAGAAUGACGUUGAGAACUUUUUAAACAGGCCAUCUACGCAAAUUUCUAAUCCACUCCCUUUAGCAGGAUAUUUGAUAUAAUAAAUCUGACACCUUCUGGGCCCUCCUGUUUCCAAGGGAAUUUGAUCUAGGAAGAUGUGUUUCAGAUUCUCGGAAACUGGAAUAAUGCUUUCACAAACUUUAAGUUUCAUUAUCCUAAAAUGUUAUCGCAGCUCGCCAGGAAAGGAACGCACAAUUAUUUCUCCCUCCAAUGUCGAAGGUGCUCAAGAUAUAUCCUCUGUAGACCAAGUCAAGGCCAUACUUACAUUGUGACUGUCAGAUAUUCAGGCUAAGUGAUAGAGGUAGAUGUCUUAUUCAAGCAUAUGAAAUAUUAAACACACACACCGUCC